CAUGCUCUUAUUCCUCUUUUAACCUUGAUAAUGUUUAUGAAACUACCUGUCUUACAUUGCUAUUGUUUUGUAAGCCAUGUUGAUGCAUGUGGUCCCUGUUACCAUGGGAUAACAUCUUGAUUGCCAUUACCUCUCUGGCUCGUUAUGACCAUAUAAAUGUAAAUGUUCUGUAUUGCCAACAUAAAGAAUGUAAAUUUCUAAGAAGAAAAAUACCAACUGAAACUAAGUUGAUAUCUGGAAUACUUGCUGUCACCUCCAAACAUUUUGAAUUCAUUCAUCCUACUGCAUCCUUUAGACAUUAAUGUCUGUGACCAGACAUAUCAUGCUUUUCCUACUAUUUCUAGAAGCAUGUUGAUGCCAGGGUUCUUUUCCUGCCAAUGGAUCUGAUGUUGAUGUCCAUCAGUUCUGCUACUUAAGACCAUGUUCUGUCUUUCCAUGAUGAAGAAAGUUAAUUUCCCUGCUUCCAUCUACCAAAGUAAACUAUGUGGCUAUCCUUUCAACAUGCUGCCACCUGAAACCUUGUGGAUUUUAUUGAUCCCUGCUACUUCUUUUACCCAUAUGGAUGUCCAUUUUUAGAACUAUAAUGCUUUUCCUACUUCUUCUGGUAGCAGUGUUGACGCUCAUGCUUUUGUAAACAACUUGACACCAUGUUGGUUUCCAUGAUCUCUCCUGAUACAGGUAUUUAUGUUAAUGUAGGUGUUACUUAUUGCCAAUGUAUAGAAUGGUAAUUUCCAAGAUUUAACCAACUUUUGUUAACUAGUUGAUACACAUUAUUCAUGCUCUCACCUGCAGCCAUGCUGAUGUUAUUGAUCACUGAUGCCUUUGCAAACCCUGUUGAUAUUAAUGAAUGGAGCUCCCCUGUAUUCCUAUUGGUUUUGUAAUCCACAUUGGUGCAGGUGGUCUUUUUUAUCAUGGGCUAACAUCUUGAUUGUCAUAAAUUCUCUAGUCCCUUAUGACCAUAUUAAGGCAAGUGUUCCUUUUGGCAAUGUGUAGAAUGGUAAUUUCCAAGAUAUAUCAAGCAUUGGUAAAUAAACAAAUAUCCAUAUUUCAUGCUGCCACAUCCUACCAUGCUGAUCUCAUUGAUACCUUUUGCCACUGUUAACCCUGUUGAUGUCUAUGAAUGUACCUGUAAUGCAUUUGUUGUUUCUGUAAGCCAUGUUGACGCAUGUCCUUAUUACCAUGGGAUAACACCUUGAUUGCUUUCAAUUCUCCAUCACCUUAUCACCUUAUUUAUGUAAGUGUUCCUUUACCCAUAUGAAGAAUGUAAUUUCCAAGAAUUGAUAUACUAACAGAAACUAAGUUAAUAUCCUGAAUACAUGCUGCUACCUCCAAACAAGUUGAGGUCUUUAAUCACUGCUGAGUCUCUUAAAUAUGUUCUUGUCCAUGAUUGGAACUAUAAUGCUAUUCCUACUCCUUCUGGAAGCAAUGUUGAUGCUCAUGAUCUUCCUACCACUAUGAUCUUUCCUCCUACAAGUUACCAUGCUAAUGUAAGAGUUCUUUUCUGGCAACAUAUUGAAUGGUAAUUGCUAAAAUUUAAUGAAACUUUGGUAACUUAGCUGGUGCCUGUAAUUCAUGUUUACAUGUGCACUCAUGCUGAUGUCAUUGAACACUACUGUGUCUGUUUACCUUGUUGAUGUCUAUGAAAGGACCUCCUGGGCAUUCCUUUGUUUCUGUAAGCCAUGUUGAUGCAUGUGGUCCUUUUUUUAAUGGGAUAACAUCUUGAUUGCCAUGACCUCUCUGGCCCCUUACGGCCAUAUUAAGGUAAGUGUACAUUUUGCAAACAUGAGGAAUGUAAAUUUUCAUGAUGUGAAAUACCAACUGAAGGUAAGUUGAUAUCCGGAAUACUUGCUGCUACCUCCAUAUAAAUUGAAUUCAUUUAUCCCUGCUGCAUUUGGUAAACAUGUGGAUGUCCAGGAUCCAGUGUCUUAUGAAAUUUCUCGCAUUACUAGAAGCCAUGUGGAUGCCUGUGGUCCUUCUUGCCAGUAUAUUGCAUAUAAAUUUCCUUGAAAUCUUGACACCUGUGACAAUGCUAAUGUUAAGUAUUCUGUGCUCUCAAUGUGAAGAACAUUAAUUUCCAAGAAUUUAACCACCAACUGAAACUAUGUUGAUAUACAGAAUACAUGGUGCCACCUCCAAACAUGUUGAAGUCAUUGAUCCCUUCUGCCUCUGUUGGACAUAUUGGUGUUUAUGAUUCUAAUUAUGAUAUUCCUAGUACAUUUGAAAUCCAUGAUGAUUCCCAUCAUAUUUGUACCAGUGGAUACCUUAUUGUUUUUUGUGAUCUCUCCUGCUGUCUUUACCUUGUUAAAUUAAAUGUUCACUCACCAACAUGAAGAAUAUUAAGUUCCAAGAUAUAACCAUUGAAAUGUUAAGUUCCAAGAUUUCACUAAUCUUGGAAACUAAUUUUAUUCCCAUAAUUCUUGGUGUCAUCUGAAUCUAUGGUUAUUGUAUUGAUCCCUCUUGUCUCUGUUAACCAUGUUGAUGCCUAUGAUCAGAUCUUCCAUGCUGUUGUUAUUCUUUCUGGAAGCCAUGUUGAUUUCCCUGCUCCUUGUUACCUCUGGAUAACUUCUUGAUAUUGGUGACCUGUGUGGUCAAUUUAUGACCAUAUUAAGAUAAAUUUUCUGUGAUUCCAACAUGAACAAAGUAAAUUUCCAAGAAUUCAACUAUCAUCUAAAACUAAGUUAAUAAUCACAAUUCAUGCUGCUGUCUAUACACAUGCUGACGCCAUUGUUUCCUGCUCCCUCUUAACGGUUUUGAUGUCCAUGACCAGACAUUCCAUGGUAUUCCUAUGAUUUCGGGGAGUCAUGUUAAUGCCUGUGGUUCUUCUUGCUGCUCAAUAUGAAGUUUAUAUCUAUCUUUCCUGCCAUUGUUUUGUGAAUGAGAAAAAUGUUAAUUUUCAAGAUUUAAUGUGCAGUCUGAAAAUAAGUUGAUAUCUAUGAUUCAUGCUGCCACCUGCAACCAUGUUGAUGUCAUUGAUCCUACUCUGUUAAUCAAAUUGAUGUCUAACAUAGGACAUCAUGCUAUUCCUGCUUCUUCUGGAAGCCAUGUAGAUGCCUGUGGUCCUUCUUAACCACUACAUACAUUGUUGAUGUCCAAUAACUCUCCUGCCCCUUGUGACUGCAUUAAAUUAUUGUUCUGUGUUACCAACAUGCAGAAUGUUAAUUUGCAAGAUUUAACCCACCAUCCAAAUGUAAGAUGAAAUCCAUAAUUCAUGUUGCCACCUGAAACCAUGUUGAUGCCAUUGAUCCCAUGUGCCUCUGUUAACCAAAUUGAUGUCCAUUAUUGAAUGACGUACCAUGCUCUUACUACUAUUUCUGGAAGCCUUGUUGAUGCUUGUGGUCUUUCUUACUGUAGAUAUGACAUUGAUGUCCAUAUCCAUGGAGAUAUUCUGCUACCUGAGACCCUACUGAUGCAAGAGUUCUGUGCUGCCAAUUUGAUGAAUGUUAAUUGCCAUGAUCUUAGCUACCAUCUGAAACUGGUGAUAUUUACAUGCUACCACCUGCAACCUUGUUGAUGACAUUGAUACCUGCUGUUCUUUUUAUCAUGUUCAUGAGAUUUACUAUGCUAUUCCUAUUGGUUUGAAGUCCAUGUUGAUGCCUUAUGUUACAUUUUACUCCUGGAUAAGGUGUUGAUGUUGAUGUCCAUGUUCUGUCCUACCACCUGAGACCAAACUGAGGAAAUCAUGUUGAUGUCACUGUUCUUUGCUACAUCUUCUAACCAUGUUGAUGUUCAUCAUCCAAGCUACUGUCCAAACUUUGUUGAUGUUACUGAUCUAUGUUGUAGCUGUCAACCAUGUUGAGGUUACUGAACUUUGCUACCACCUGUAACCAUAUUGAUGUCUGCAGUGUACAGUGUCAUCAGAAACAGUGUUGAAUUCAUUUGUCCAUACUGCUACCUUAGACCCAGUUCAAGCAACCAUGUUGAUGUGAGUGAUUCUCGCUGCCUCUCUUAACCUUGCUGAUGUCCAUGAUUCGACCUGUCAUCUGAAACUUUGUUGAUGUCACUGAUCUUUGCUAUUGCUGUCAACCAUGUUGAUGCUACUGAAACUUGCUUCCACUUGUAAUCAUACUGCUGUCUCUAGUCUGUUAUAAUCUGUUACAAUUCUGAAAUCAGUGGUAUAUACUACCACCUGAGAACCACUUCAGGAAACCAACCAUGUUGAUGUCACUGAUCUUUGUUCCCUGUUUUGACCAUGUGGAUGUCCAUUAUCUGACUUAACAUCUGAAAUUAUGUUGAUGUCACUCAUUCAUGCUGCUGCUGAUAACCAUGUUUAUGGCCAUAGUCUUUGUUGGAAUCUUAGACCUUGUGAAUGUCCAUUGUCCAUGUUGCCACCUGAGUCCAUGAUGAUGACCAUGAUGACUUUAGUCUGUGCUGCUGUCAGCCAUAAUGUCGAUGUCUCUGAUUGGUGCUGCUGCUGGGGACUAGGUCAAUAUGAAUGAUCUGAGCUGCCAACAGAAACUAUUUUGAUAUCAUUAAGUCAUACUUGUGCUGGAGACCAUGUUGAAAUCUUUGUCCUUGAUGCCCUCAAAUACUACGUUUAUGUUCAUGCUCUGGGUUGCAUGCUGAAGACCAGUUGGAUAUCCAUGACCCAGCUAUUGAUGGAGACUGUGUCGAUGUCUGUGGUCAGUAUUGCCACAAGAAAGCAUCCUGAUAGUGAUCUAUGAUGCCUCCCUCAAACAUGUUAUGUUGGUGAUCUGUUUUGAUGUUCUGGACCAGAUGGAUGGCAGUUAUCCAAGAGGUCACAAGGAAUCUUGUGGACUAUGAUCUGUGCUGCUCCUGGAAACCCUGUAGAAGUUUAUGAUUCAUUCUGCUGCUGGAAACCAUGUGGAAGGCCUUGAUCUGUACUGUCACUGCCUUCUCUGGGCAAGGAAUUUCUUUUGCAGUACUAUCAAUGACUGUAGAAUCAUAACUGAAAUUCAGACAGACAUUGAAGUCUUCUGUGCCACCAUCCCUCCAAAAAAAGAAAAUCUAGACAGGAUCUUAUUGGAGAGUUUUUGAAAGUUGUAAUAAAAAUAUGUAACUGUAGCUCUUCACAGUUGAUGGCUUCAGGCAGGGGUUGGGAAAGAACUCCUUUUUAAAGGGCUGGCUACUGCAAGUUUGCCCAUGCUCCAAUGAGUAUAAGGAGAACACCCAUUGGACUUGUUAUAUUGUAUUUUUUCUAUUCUGGGGGAGGAUGCCACAAGGGUGAGAGGGUGGACCUGGGAGGAACGGGAAUCAAGUGUGAUUGAGGUAUGUUGUAUGACAUUCUCAAAUGAUUAAUGAAAUAUUAGGUUGGGAAAAUAAAAAAAAGUGUGAAAUAGUAUGUAUUUGAAA